AGAGUUUGAUCCUGGCUCAGGAUGAACGCUGGCGGCGUGCUUAACACAUGCAAGUCGAACGGGAAAUAUUUCAUUGAGACUUCGGUGGAUUUGAUCUAUUUCUAGUGGCGGACGGGUGAGUAACGCGUGGGUAACCUGCCUUAUACAGGGGGAUAACAGUCAGAAAUGGCUGCUAAUACCGCAUAAGCGCACAGAGCUGCAUGGCUCAGUGUGAAAAACUCCGGUGGUAUAAGAUGGACCCGCGUUGGAUUAGCUAGUUGGCAGGGCAGCGGCCUACCAAGGCGACGAUCCAUAGCCGGCCUGAGAGGGUGAACGGCCACAUUGGGACUGAGACACGGCCCAGACUCCUACGGGAGGCAGCAGUGGGGAAUAUUGCACAAUGGGGGAAACCCUGAUGCAGCGACGCCGCGUGAAGGAAGAAGUAUCUCGGUAUGUAAACUUCUAUCAGCAGGGAAGAUAAUGACGGUACCUGACUAAGAAGCCCCGGCUAACUACGUGCCAGCAGCCGCGGUAAUACGUAGGGGGCAAGCGUUAUCCGGAUUUACUGGGUGUAAAGGGAGCGUAGACGGCGCAGCAAGUCUGAUGUGAAAGGCAGGGGCUUAACUCCUGGACUGCAUUGGAAACUGCUGUGCUUGAGUGCCGGAGGGGUAAGCGGAAUUCCUAGUGUAGCGGUGAAAUGCGUAGAUAUUAGGAGGAACACCAGUGGCGAAGGCGGCUUACUGGACGGUAACUGACGUUGAGGCUCGAAAGCGUGGGGAGCAAACCAGGAUUAGAUACCCUGGUAGUCCACGCCGUAAACGAU
rnacentral:rRNA from 1 species